AUAUAAAAUGUCAUUUUAUUCACUUUUAAAAUCUAGUUAUCCCUCUCCGAUCCUCACUUGUAGGUGCAGGGAUCGCAGGUGCAGUUGGCUCCGCACUUGCACCCAUCGUUCUCGGCC